CCCCUCAGAGAUGAGGAGUUUGUUGCGUAUGUGCUCACUGGCCUUGAUGAAGAGAUCUAUAAUUCUUUUGUGUCCUCUAUUGUUACCUGGGUCGAGCCAAUUGCACCCGCUGAGUUAUAUUCAUAGAUGCUGGCUUUUGAAC
rfam:Zea mays cultivar B73 chromosome 2, whole genome shotgun sequence.